GCCUUGCCUGCUAUCAAGUAUUGCAGUUUACAUUACUACACAUGACAUACCAGCUAUAUAUCCUGUGUAGAAUUGGAACACCUAUUGUAAAGGGGUUAUGUCUCGCAUACCCGUCAUAAAAGGGUUAAGAUAAUGAUUUAUUUUGCUGAAUUCGCCAUACAUUCCCAGUCUUAGCUGCCAUUAAUGUAAAAAUAAAUAAAUAUUAUACAUAUAUACAUAUUUUUAUUUGCUUAACAUUAGAUCUACUUUCCACUAAUAUUACACAAUGCCCCUUUCUCAUCUGCAAAGUUCUUCAUGCACAGAUCCCCAGAAAGGCCUUUGUAUUGACCUUGAAUAUACUUGUGUAUGGUAAUGGUGUCCCUAUGUAGCUGUCUUUUUUCCAAAGUAAACAAGGCUGAUUUUGUAAGCCAGUUCUUGCAGCUGACAUCUUCCAUUCGUUUAAUUAAUUUUGUUUCUGUCUCUGAACUCUUUUUCUAUUCCAUUAUGUCUUUGACAUUACAAGGCACACACGUGUCUGUAGCA